AUUUUAAAAACAUGUUGGUAAGGAACAAAACUGUACUCUGAUUCUAUUGUAUACAUUUAAAAAUAAUGUAACUGGUUUAUUUGAAUAUGUCAAUAUUUGCAAAUUGGAAAUCAUCCUUUGCAAUAAAUUUAUGAACAACUUCAAAUGGAAGAAUCGAAACCCCAUUGCUCAUGGCAGUGUCUUCAAUUAUGCAUAUUCAUAUUAGCUUUUUCCCUCCCCUCCCACACCUUUGUUUCUCCCUCAUUUCAAUUCCUUGGAACAUUUCCUGAAUAAACUAAAUACAGUCAAGUCUUAUCUCUUGCGCUACUUUCAGGAGUACCCAAAGACAGGUGUACCAGGAGUGAAAUGCUUUAGAGAGGCCACUCACAGUCAAAAGACAUGAGAAGACCACUGUUUUAAUUAACAUUCAUCAUCUAUUUCCCAAAAACCCCUCCACCUACAAGUCUAAUUAUCUUUCAUCUCCUUGUACUCUCUGAUAGCACCUAUCUUGUUGAAAAAUAUUUUUAUGUUUCCAUUAGUCUAUAGGCUGUGAUCUUAUUAAUUCCAUAUCCAUCCCCAGCCUCUAAGCUUAAUAGCUGGCACAUGGACAACCCUAAUGUCUAAUGAAAUUUCUAUUUAUUUAGUAACAGUUUCUAGGUACUUUAUUUGCUUUACUUAAUUCUCAAAACAAGGCUCUAAGCUGGGCAUUAUUCCCAUUUUACAGACAAGGAUAGUGAAGUUCCAAAAGAUCACACUGCUAGUAAAUUGCCAGAGUGAAAAUUUGAGUCCAAGACUGCAGAGUUCAUGCCUGUUCCACUAUAUUAUUAAUCACUGAUGUAGUUCCUCCAUAUGUUGGUACAAUGCAGGAUACCAUGAAAGGCUUUCAGUAAUGGAUUACUUCUCAUAGGAAGAGAAAUGAAGUUUGAAGGAUUGUCUGGGUUUACAGAGGGACAAUAAACAGUGGAGAAUUUUCCAGAAGAGGAAAACAAUACAAAGGUAAUAGAGGAAAACAAGUGUAGUCCAUUUAACAGUAAGGCUACAUUUAAAUAACUGAGGAUUAUGUAAAUUGCAAAAGAUCCAGAUUACAAAGACCUGACAUGGUUUGAAACAGGGAGUCACUAGACAUUCCAGAGCAGAAAACUGAAAUGACAAGAAUAGUUGAAGCACAUAUGCUGGAAAGACUAUGAACUUGAAUAGCACAGGAUUUGAAUCCUGAACCUGCCCCCUUAUGUCUUAUCCAGGAUAAGUUUCUAAAUGUCUCUAUCCCUCAGCCUCAUCUAGAAAAUGAUCAUUUUACCUUAUUUUAUGAACAAAUUAGAUACUGCAGGUAACAUGUACAAUGCAUGGAACAUGUGCAAUGGAUGGAACAGUGUGGCAGUGACAAUUGUGAUGAAUUAGAAUAAAGGCAAAGUUACAGUUUCAGAGGCCAGUGGUAGUAUCUUCAUGACAUUAUUUUAUAAAAAAUGUUGGACCUUCAGUAGGAUUCAGAAGUAAGAAGACAAUAUUAUCUGUUUUAAUGAUAUGGAUAUGAGGGAGGACUCGGUGUUUGAAGCCUGAACUCUUAGGGUAACGUUAUUAACAGAGACAGUGAAGUUGGCAGGAGACUUCGUUUAUUGGAGGGGAAAUAGUACGCUUCAUUUUGAACAUGUGAAAUAUGAACAUCUGAGAGGAAAUAAGACAGUGGAAAUAAGAUGAGUGUUAGGAAAAGGGGUUUUACCUGAAAUUUAAAGAAUAACCAAGUUGGAGCCUUCUCUACCAAUGCUCAUUCUGUUCUG
rnacentral:lncRNA from 10 species